rnacentral:lncRNA from 1 species
GUUUUGGUGAUGGUGAUGUGUUUUUACAUCUUACUUUACAGAACAUUCUUGCUGCUUAAAAUUAUCUCUAUCUAUAAUGAACUUGGCCCAUUAGUUUCAGUGGAAAAUGUUAGUAAAAAUUUACAAAUUUUAUGAAAAUUGUUAAAAAUUGACUAUAAAGAACAAUUACUCCUAAGGGGGUCAAUUGACCAUUUCGAUCAUGUUGACUUAUUUGUAAAUCUUACUUUGCUGAACAUUAUUGUUGUUUACAGUUUAUCUCUAUCAAUAAUAAUAUUCAAGAUAAUGACAAA